GAUUUCUGGCAGGGUGACUCUGCCCUCUUGAUGAGUGCGCCCCUUUUGCCCUACCAUCCUUCUGUUAACCCUUUAGGCCUUAAAAAGUCUUUUGGGGGCUCAGAUAUUUUACCUUGAGAAAAUUAGAGUGUUUCAGGCAGGCUAGCGCCGGAAUACAUUAGCAUGGAAUAAUAGAAUAGGACUUUUACCUCUUCUGUUGGUCUGAGGGGUUCAAGUAAUGAUUAAUAGGGAUAGUUGGGGGCAUUAGUACUUUACUGUCAGAGGUGAAAUUCUCGGAUUUGUAAAAGACUAACUUAUGCGAAACAUUUGCCAAGGAUGUUUUCAUUAUUCAAGAACGAAGUUAGGGGUUAAAUACGAUCAGAUACCGUAGUAGUCUUAACAAUAAAUAUGCCGACUCGGGAUCGGGGGGAGAGUAUCCGCCUUCGGCCCCGUAUGAGAAAUCAAAGCUUUGGUCCUGGG
rnacentral:rRNA from 1 species